rnacentral:rRNA from 1 species
GCUGACGAGUGGCGGACGGGUGAGUAAUGUCUGGGAAACUGCCUGAUGGAGGGGGAUAACUACUGGAAACGGUAGCUAAUACCGCAUAACGUCGCAAGACCAAAGAGGGGGACCUUCGGGCCUCUUGCCAUCGGAUGUGCCCAGAUGGGAUUAGCUAGUAGGUGGGGUAACGGCUCACCUAGGCGACGAUCCCUAGCUGGUCUGAGAGGAUGACCAGCCACACUGGAACUGAGACACGGUCCAGACU